rnacentral:misc_RNA from 1 species
AAGUCGUAACAAGGUAACCGUAGGUGAACCUGCGGUUGGAUCAUUAAUCGUGCGGCUUUCAGGCCUUGGCGUGCCAAGGCCACGCAAAAACUUGUGCUCACUUCGAGCCUGGCUUUUGCGGUAGGUCCGUAACCUCUGUGUGAACUGUUACCGUCUCUGGCAAGCGGGUAGCUUUCCACGCUACUUGUCAAUGCAACGUUUCGACGGUGCAUCGUGGACAACUUGCCAAACCCCUUUUCUUAACCUUUUGCUGCAACAUUUUGUCUGACAUUUUACUGUAUUUAAUACAAAACAACUUUUGGCAACGGAUCUCUUGGCUCUC